rnacentral:rRNA from 1 species
AGAGAGAGACAUGCGCGCAUAUCAAUAAGCGGAGGAAAAGAAACUAACAAGGAUUCCCUUAGUAACGGCGAGUGAAGCGGGAAGAGCUCAAAUUUGAAAUCUUCAAGGUUCUACCUUGACGAAUUGUAGUUUAUAGAAGUGUUUUCUGUUAGUGGAGUGGCAAAAGUUCUUUGGAAUAGGACAUCAUAGAGGGUGAGAAUCCCGUAUUUGGUCAUUCCUCCUAGCGUUGUGAUACACUUUCAACGAGUCGGAUUGUUUGGGAAUGCAGUCCAAAAUGGGUGGUAAAUUUCAUCUAAAGCUAAAUAUUGGCGAGAGACCGAUAGCGAACAAGUACCGUGAGGGAAAGAUGAAAAGAACUUUGAAAAGAGAGUUAAACAGUACGUGAAAUUGUCAAAAGGGAAGCGUUUGACACCAGUGUUGUUUUUCCGAAGAUCAAUUACGAAUGUUUUGUUUUUGAGGAGUUAUGACUUCAUCGGCUUGCUUCUUCCUUUACGAAACUUUCUUAAUGCACUUUUCGGUUAACAAGUCAACAUCAAUUUCUUUUGUUGUAAAAGGGUACGAGGAAGGUGGCUUUCUUUUCGGAGAAAGUGUUUAUAGCCUUGUGCCUCUGCAAUCGGAGAGAUUGAGGUCUGCAGCGUAGAUCCUUCGGGGUUAGAUACAGUUUGUGCUAAGUUAUAGCUUUUCAUAGACAACUUGUUGACUAUGUUUAGUCUUGUAGCUUACUCGCUGAUGCUAUUUUACCUACGCUUAGGAUGUUGAUAGUCACAGCGUGUAC